AUUGAACGCUGGCGGCAUGCCUUACACAUGCAAGUCGAACGGUAACGGGCCUUCGGGUGCCGACGAGUGGCGAACGGGUGAGUAAUACAUCGGAACGUGCCCGAUCGUGGGGGAUAACGAGGCGAAAGCUUUGCUAAUACCGCAUACGAUCUACGGAUGAAAGCAGGGGACCGCAAGGCCUUGCGCGGACGGAGCGGCCGGUGGCAGAUUAGGUAGUUGGUGGGAUAAAAGCUUACCAAGCCGACGAUCUGUAGCUGGUCUGAGAGGAUGAUCAGCCACACUGGGACUGAGACACGGCCCAGACUCCUACGGGAGGCAGCAGUGGGGAAUUUUGGACAAUGGGCGCAAGCCUGAUCCAGCCAUGCCGCGUGCAGGAUGAAGGCCUUCGGGUUGUAAACUGCUUUUGUACGGAACGAAAAGCCUUCUUUUAAUACAGGAGGGUCAUGACGGUACCGUAAGAAUAAGCACCGGCUAACUACGU
rnacentral:rRNA from 1 species